rnacentral:rRNA from 1 species
CCUACGGGAUGCAGCAGUGAGGAAUAUUGGUCAAUGGACGAGAGUCUGAACCAGCCAAGUAGCGUGAAGGAUGACUGCCCUAUUGGUUGUAAACUUCUUUUAUAAAGGAAUAAAACGAGGCCCAUGUGCCUUUUUGCAUGUACUUUAUGAAUAAUGAUCGGCUAACUCCUUGCCAGCAGCCGCGGUAAUACGGAGGAUCCGAGCUUUAUCCUGAUUUAUUGGGUUUAAAGGGAGCGUAGAUGGGUUGUUAAGUCCGUUGUGAAAGUUUGAGGCUCAAACGUAAAAUUGCAAUUGAUACUGGCAGUAUUGAGUACAGUUGAGGUAAGCGGAAUUCGUGGUGUAGCGGUGAAAUGCUUAGAUAUCACGAAGAACCCCGAUUGCGAAGGCAGCUUACUAAACUGUGACUGACAUUGAUGCUCGAAAGUGUGGGUAUCAAACAGGAGUAGAUACCCUAGUAGUC